AUGGAGCGCGUCUUCUCCGUCGAGGAGAUCCCCGACCCCUUCUGGGGCCAGCCGUCGCCGCGGCCGGCGGCCGCUGGAGGGGGCGGCGCGGAGGGCGCGAUGAACCGGUGCCCGUCCGAGUGGUGCUUCCAGAAGUUCCUCGAGGAGGCCGUGCUCGACAGCCCCGCCGCAGACCCUACCCCGAUGGCCGGUGCUAGCGGGGGCGGGGCCGCGCAGGUGAAGCAGACCGCCGCUGCCGCUGCCUCGGGCGCUGUGGUGGACCCGGUGGAGUACAACGCCAUGCUCAAGCAGAAGCUCGAGAAGGACCUCGCCGCCGUCGCCAUGUGGAGGGCCUCUGGUGCCAUGCCUCCAGAACGUUUUGCAGCUAAUCCGUCAUUGCCAAAUGCAGAUGUUCAGCAUAUAGGCACUAUUAAUCCCAUAGGAGGUAAUGUGGUUCCAGUUCAAAACAAGCUAGCUGGUGGCGCAAGUGGGGUAUUGGGUCCACAAUUGGUACAAAAUGCUGAUGCCCUUGUAAAGCAAGCCGCUAGCUCUUCUUCGCGGGAGCAGUCAGAAGAUGAUGAUAUGGAAGGAGAAGAUGAGAUCACUGGGAAUGGGGCCCCUACUGAUCAAAGACUGCGGAGGAGGAAGCAAUCCAAUCGGGAAUCGGCCAGGCGUUCAAGAAGCAGAAAGGCAGCUCACCUGAAUGAGCUAGAAGCACAGGUAUCACAGUUAAGAGUUGAGAACUCCUCACUGUUAAGGCGACUUGCUGAUGUUAAUCAGAAAUACAAUGGUGCUGCUGUCGACAAUAGGGUAUUAAAAGCAGAUGUUGAAACCUUAAGAGCAAAGGUGAAGAUGGCAGAGGACUCAGUGAAGCGGGUGACAGGCAUGAGCGCUCUGUUCCCUGCUGGCUCCGACAUGUCAUCCCUCAGCAUGCCCUUCACCGGCUCCCCAUCAGAGGCCACCUCUGACGCGGCCGUCCCAGACGACCUCAGCGCUUACUUCUCCACAAGCGAGGCCGGAGGUAACAACGGGUACAUGCCUGAGAUGGCUUCCUCAGCGCAAGAGGAUGACAAUUUCCUCAACGAGGCCAUGGAUACCGGCAAGAUGGGCAGACCCGAUUCGCUGCAUCGUGUAGCGAGCCUGGAGCACCUCCAGAAGAGGAUGUGUGGCGGGCCGGCUUCGUCCGGAUCGACCUCAUAG
rnacentral:rRNA from 1 species